GAUGAACGCUGGCGGCGUGCCUAAUACAUGCAAGUCGAGCGAACAGAUAAGGAGCUUGCUCCUUUGACGUUAGCGGCGGACGGGUGAGUAACACGUGGGUAACCUACCUAUAAGACUGGGAUAACUUCGGGAAACCGGAGCUAAUACCGGAUAACAUUUGGAACCGCAUGGUUCUAAAGUGAAAGAUGGUUUUGCUAUCACUUAUAGAUGGACCCGCGCCGUAUUAGCUAGUUGGUAAGGUAACGGCUUACCAAGGCAACGAUACGUAGCCGACCUGAGAGGGUGAUCGGCCACACUGGAACUGAGACACGGUCCAGAUUCCUACGGGAGGCAGCAGUAGGGAAUCUUCCGCAAUGGGCGAAAGCCUGACGGAGCAACGCCGCGUGAGUGAUGAAGGGUUUCGGCUCGUAAAACUCUGUUAUUAGGGAAGAACAAAUGUGUAAGUAACUGUGCACGUCUUGACGGUACCUAAUCAGAAAGCCACGGCUAACUACGUG
rnacentral:rRNA from 1 species